rnacentral:rRNA from 1 species
GACGGAGGGGGCAAGCGUUGUUCGGAAUUAUUGGGCGUAAAGGGCUCGUAGGCGGAUCCGCCAGUCUGACGUGAAAUCUCCACCGCUCACCGGGGAGAGGUCGUUGGAUACUACGGAUCUGGAGUUCGGCAGAGGACCAUGGAAUUCCUGGUGUAGCGGUGAAAUGCGCAGAUAUCAGGAGGAACACCAAUUGCGAAGGCAGCUCGCUGGGACGUUACUGACGCUGAGACGCGAAAGCGUGGGGAGCAAACAGG